rnacentral:lncRNA from 1 species
CCGUGGUGAUGGUGAAAACUGUGAACCAUUUUUUAUGCUGAUCCUUGCAACAGUAUGUCUACCAUGUUAAAUAUAGUGCCUUGGUGUUGUCGCAAUUCUCCGAGGAAAAUCAAUAAGAACAGGUAGCUUGAGCCUCCAUUAAGAACCACAAUAUGUGAUUUUACUACUAUAAUGACAGACUCGAUAAAGUUAAAACGUUAAGAUGAUUUCUUAAAAUCAAAUUUUAAAAUCCAUCUGAAGCUUGACUUUUGAUGGUGGCAGCAGUCGGAACACAUUGUUU